GGAAAGGUGAAAAGAACCCCGAACAGGGGAGUGAAAUAGAACCUGAAACCAUACGCUUACAACCGGUCGGAGCAGCUUCGUGCUGUGACGGCGUGCCUAUUGAAUAAUGAGCCUACGAGUUACUAAUCACUAGCGAGGUUAAGUGCAAGGAUGCACGGAGCCGAAGCGAAAGCGAGUCUGAACAGGGCGUUUAGUUAGUGGUUGUAGACGCGAAACCUUGCGAUCUACCCUUGAGCAGGUUGAAGGUUGGGUAAAACCAACUGGAGGACCGAACGAAUAAGCGUUGAAAAGCUUCUCGAUGACUUGAGGGUAGGGGUGAAAGGCUAAUCAAGCUGGGAAAUAGCUCGUACUCCCCGAAAUGCCUUUUGGGGCAGCGUUGUAAUAAAGAGUCUACUGGAGGUAGAGCUACUGAUUGGAUGCGGGGGCUUCACCGCCUACCAAAUCCUGACAAACUCCGAAUGCCAGUAGUAUGAUUUACAGCAGUGAGUGACUGGGUGCUAAUGUCCAGUCGCAAAAGAGGAACAACUCAGACCAGCAACUAAGGUCCCGAAGAAUAUGCUAAGUUGAUCUAACGAUGUUUUGUUGCAGAGACAGCUAGGAUGUUAGCUUGGAAGCAGCUAUUCAUUCAAAGAGUGCGUAACAGCUCACUAGUCGAGCGACAGAGCGUGGAUAAUAAACGGGCAUCAAGCAUAUCACCGAAGUUCUGGGCGCGAGAGCGCGGUAGGGGAGCAUUCCAUUCAGCGUCGAAGCAGUUUCGUGAGGAAUUGUGGAGCGUAUGGAAAAGCAAAUGUAGGCAUGAGUAACGAUAAUGCGGGAGAGUAACCCGCACACCGCAAGACCAAGGUUUCCUGAUCAACGCUAAUCGGAUCAGGGUUAGUCGGGUCCUAAGGGUAAGCCGAACGGUGAUCUCGAUGGAUAAUCGGUUAAUAUUCCGAUACUGACAUAUACCUCGAUGGAGAGACGAAGGAACGUAAGUGCCGCCGCCUGACGGAAUAGGUGGUUAAAGGGCGUAGGUAUAGGGACAGAUUAAGAGUUAGUCCUUGCUGAACCCCGACAGUACAGAGAGCCUACGGGCAAUUUGAUAGUGCACCCAAGUCGACUUCCGAGAAAAUCUUCUAAGUUAUAGUAUAUGUCACCCGUACCGUAAACCGACACAGGUGGUCGAGGAGAGUAUCCUAAGGUGCUCGAGUGAAUCACGGUUAAGGAACUAGGCAAAUUAACCCCGUAACUUCGGGAAAAGGGGUCCCUAUGAAAGUAGGGCGCAGCGAAGAGGUCCAGGCGACUGUUUAUCAAAAACACAGGGCUCUGCAAAUUCGAAAGAAGACGUAUAGGGCCUGACACCUGCCCGGUGCUGGAAGGUUAAGAGGGGAUGUCAUCGCAAGAGAAGCAUUGAAUCGAAGCCCCAGUAAACGGCGGCCGUAACUAUAACGGUCCUAAGGUAGCGAAAUUCCUUGUCGGGUAAGUUCCGACCUGCACGAAUGGUGUAACGAUCUGGACACUGUCUCAACCGUGAGCUCGGUGAAAUUGUAGUCCCGGUGAUGAUGCCGGGUACCCGCAACGGGACGAAAAGACCCCGUGAACCUUUACUAUAGCUUAACGCUGAAUUUGGGUACACAAUGUGUAGGAUAGGC
rnacentral:rRNA from 1 species